UAGGGAAUCUUCCGCAAUGGACGCAAGUCUGACGGAGCAACGCCGCGUGAGUGAAGAAGGAUUUCGGUUCGUAAAACUCUGUUGUUAGAGAAGAACAGCGCAUAGAGUAACUGUUAUGCGUGUGACGGUAUCUAACCAGAAAGCCACGGCUAACUACGUGCCAGCAGCCGCGGUAAUACGUAGGUGGCAAGCGUUGUCCGGAUUUAUUGGGCGUAAAGCGAGCGCAGGCGGUCAAUUAAGUCUGAUGUGAAAGCCCCCGGCUCAACCGGGGGGGGUCAUUGGAAACUGGUUGACUUGAGUGCAGAAGAGGAGAGUGGAAUUCCAUGUGUAGCGGUGAAAUGCGUGGAUAUAUGGAGGAACACCGGUGGCGAAAGCGACUCUCUGGUAUGUAACUGACGCUGAGGCUCGAAAGCGUGGGUAGCAAACAGG
rnacentral:rRNA from 1 species